GCUGAGGUGGCGGAACUGGCAUACGCGCACGUUUGAGGGGCGUGUUUCUUUUGGGAAUGCGGGUUCAAAUCCCGCCCUCAGCA
rnacentral:tRNA from 1 species